GGAAGAAAAUUUGCUUCAAGUUCAAAAUAGACAAUGUAGUCUGAAAAAGGAUGUGAUAAAGACAUAAAGUAAAUGUCUCAUUGUGCACAAGCGUGGUAAAGGGUCAGUCCUAGGCUAUGAUGUAAACUCGCACAUAACUUAGGACGUCUGGUUUUUCCAUUCUCGCCUUACAAAAUAGCGCUUGGAUGGAGAGUUAGGGCAGGGUUUCUUCAGGACUUGACCAGGUUUCCGUUUG